UACGUAGGUGGCAAGCGUUGUCCGGAAUUAUUGGGCGUAAGCGCGCGCAGGCGGUCCUUUAAGUCUGAUGUGAAUGCCCACGGCUCAACCGUGGAGGGUCAUUGGAAACUGGGGGACUUGAGUGCAGGAGAGAAGAGUGGAAUUCCACGUGUAGCGGUGAAAUGCGUAGAGAAUGUGGAGGAACACCAGUGGCGAAGGCGACUCUUUGGCCUGUAACGUGACGCUGAGGCGCGAAAGCGUGGGAGCAAACAG
rnacentral:rRNA from 1 species